CUGACCUCAGAUCAGGCAAGACUACCCGCUGAGUUUAAGCAUAUCACUAAGCGGAGGAAAAGAAACUAACAAGGAUUCCCCUUGUAGCGGCGAGCGAACCGGGAGAAGCCCAGCUUGAAAAUCGCGCCGUUUUUCGCGGCGCGAGUUGUAGUCUGGAGAAGCGUCCUCUGUUGCGGACUCGGCCCAAGUCCCCUGGAAAGGGGCGUCAGAGAGGGUGAGAACCCCGUCGGGCUGAGACCCUGCAGCUCCACGAGGCGCUGUCGACGAGUCGGGCUGUUUGGGAAUGCAGCCCUAAGCGGGAGGUAAAUUCCUUCCAAGGCUAAAUAU
rnacentral:rRNA from 1 species